AUUGAACGCUGGCGGCAUGCCUUACACAUGCAAGUCGAACGGUAACAGGGAGCUUGCUCCGCUGACGAGUGGCGAACGGGUGAGUAAUGCGUCGGAACGUGCCGAGUAGUGGGGGAUAACGCAGCGAAAGUUGUGCUAAUACCGCAUACGUACUGAGGUAGAAAGUGGGGGACCUUCGGGCCUCACGCUAUUCGAGCGGCCGACGGCUGAUUAGCUAGUAGGUGAGGUAAAGGCUCACCUAGGCGACGAUCAGUAGCGGGUCUGAGAGGAUGAGCCGCCACACUGGGACUGAGACACGGCCCAGACUCCUACGGGAGGCAGCAGUGGGGAAUUUUGGACAAUGGGCGAAAGCCUGAUCCAGCCAUGCCGCGUGUCUGAGGAAGGCCUUCGGGUUGUAAAGGACUUUUGUCGGGGAGGAAAUCCCCAGCGCUAAUACCGCUGGGGGAUGACAGUACCUGAAGAAUAAGCACCGGCUAACUACGUGCCAGCCGCCGCAGUAACAC
rnacentral:rRNA from 1 species